UAAAAACCCCGACUUCGGAAGGGGUGUAUUUAUUAGAUACAAAACCAAUGCCCUUCGGGGCUCUUUGGUGAUUCAUGAUAACUAUACGAAUCGCACGGCCUUGCGCCGGCGAUGGUUCAUUCAAAUUUCUUCCCUAUCAACUUUCGAUGUUUGGGUAUUGGCCAAACAUGGUUGCAACGGGUAACGGAGGGUUAGGGCUCGACCCCGGAGAAGGAGCCUGAGAAACGGCUACUACAUCCAAGGAAGGCAGCAGGCGCGCAAAUUACCCAAUCCCGACUCGGGGAGGUAGUGACAAUAAAUACUGAUACAGGGCCCUUUCGGGCCUUGUAAUUGGAAUGAGUACAAUUUAAAUCCCUUAACGAGGAACAAUUGGAGGGCAAGUCUGGUGCCAGCAGCCGCGGUAAUUCCAGCUCCAAUAGCGUAUAUUAAAGUUGUUGUGGUUAAAAAGCUCGUAGUUGAACCUUGGGCCUGGCUGGCCGGUCCGCCUCACCGCGUGCACUGGUCCGGCCGGGCCUUCCCCUCUGUGGAACCCCAUACCCUUCACUGGGCGUGGCGGGGGAAACAGGAAAAUUUACU
rnacentral:rRNA from 1 species